rnacentral:rRNA from 1 species
CCUGGUAGUCCACGCCGUAAACGAUGAAUACUAGGUGUAGGAGGUAUCGACUCCUUCUGUGCCGUCGCAAACGCAUUAAGUAUUCCGCCUGGGGACUACGGCCGCAAGGUUGAAACUCAAAGAAAUUGACGGGGACCCGCACAAGCAGCGGAGCAUGGGGUUUAAUUCGACGCAACGCGAAAAACCUUACCAGAACUUGACAUCUAGUGAAGAGUCUUGUAAUGAGACUCGUCCCUUCGGGGACACGAAGACAGGUGUUGCAUGGUUGUCGUCAGCUCGUGUCGUGAGAUGUUAGGUUAAGUCCUGCAACGAGCGCAACCCUCAUAUACAGUUGCCAAUAUUCAGUUAGGAACUCUGUAUAGACUGCCGUGGUCAACACGGAGGAAGGUGGGGAUGACGUCAAAUCAUCACGGCCCUUACGUUCUGGGCCACACCCGUGCUACAAUGGCUAUUACAAAGAGCAGCGAGAUAGUAAUAUGGAGCGAAUCUCAGAAAGAUAGUCUCAGUUCAGACUGUGGGCUGCAACUCGCCCACACGAAGUAGGAGUUGCUAGUAAUCCCGAAUCAGCAUGUCGGGGUGAAUGCGUUCCCGGGUCUUGUACACACCGCCCGUCACGCCAUGGGAGUCGGGAGUGCCCAAAGUCAGUGUCCUAACCGCAAGGGGGGAGCUGCCUAAGGCAAUACCGAUGACUGGGGUGAAGUCGUAACAAGGUAGCCGUAUCGGAAGGUGCGGCUG